rnacentral:lncRNA from 1 species
AGUGGGGAAGCGUAGGAAGGUUUAGUUUUGGGGUUGGUGUGAGGAUGAAGUAGAGAGGGUUGGUGUGGGAUCCGACCAGACAUAACUGCGUGCGUUAGUUGAUUUAGACUCACUCAUUACAAACCUUUGUUUUUUUUUUGCCCAUAGGAUUUUCAACAAUAGCAAAUAAGUUAGUGACUUUUCACGUCAUACGUCUGUUUCAGAUAAUAGUCUAAUAAAUAAUUAAUCAGUUUUAAAAGAGAUAAUUAUAUUUGCCUUUGUUUCUAAACCAAAAAAAAAGAGAGAGAAAGAAAACACAGAAAGGUUUGAGAGAGUCGGUGUUGUAUGUUUAGUGGUAGGACCAGAGGAGUAGGUGGGUGUGUUUGGUGAAACGUAAAGUUUAUUUAUUUUUGAUUUUUUUAAUGUUGAUUGUUAUAAGUGAGUUCAAUGAAUCAUGCGAUCUUCGUUGAACAUGUUACAUGCAGUUAUUUUUUUCUUUAAUCACCAGUAUACAUUAAUCUGAUUCCAAUUGUGACAGAAUAACAACAGUACCAUAAAAUGCAGACUAUAUUUUUUAUUGAAUUUACAUAUAUGAUCGGUUUGUCACUUUAUUGAUGAAUUAGUCAGCUUAAGUUAUAAUCAUUAACACCAUUAAUGUUGAAAGUUAUAGUCUGCAUUUUUUUCCAAUGAUAUAUAGUCUGCAUUUUCGCUACAAAUAUCUUUGUUGGAUUAGUCUUGACUGAAGUUUCUGUUUUAGUGUUGUUGGAUC